rnacentral:rRNA from 1 species
GACGUAGGGCGCGAGCGUUGUCCGGAUUUAUUGGGCGUAAAGAGCUCGUAGGCGGCUUGUCGCGUCGUCCGUGAAAACUCACAGCUUAACUGUGAGCUUGCGGUCGAUACGGGCAGGCUAGAGUUCGGUAGGGGAGACUGGAAUUCCUGGUGUAGCGGUGAAAUGCGCAGAUAUCAGGAGGAACACCGGUGGCGAAGGCGGGUCUCUGGGCCGAUACUGACACUGAGAAGCGAAAGCGUGGGGAGCGAACAGG